UCGAAGCAUGUUGCUUCAUACAGGAUUUCAACUUAGGCCUAUUUUUUUGUAGUGUUAACUAUUUUGGGCCUUUAUAGUUUUGAGCUUUGGCUUAGGGAGUAAGCUAACCUAAAUCUAUAAAUAGAUGGAGUAACCCUUAGUCUUGUAUGAAGAGAAGAAAGAACUCAUAACAUGCAUCAACCUUUAGGUAAAGUCAAUACAUAUGUUCCUACAGCUAAAGCAACAACCUUUGCUCCAUUGCCAACUCGUAGGUCCACUUCACCUUUUGCCGAAUC
rnacentral:lncRNA from 1 species